UACAGAGGGGGCAAGCGUUGUUCGGAAUUACUGGGCGUAAAGGGCGCGUAGGCGGCCUGUUAAGUCGAACGUGAAAUCCCUGGGCUCAACCCAGGAACUGCGUCCGAUACUGGCAGGCUUGAAUUCGGGAGAGGGAUGCGGAAUUCCAGGUGUAGCGGUGAAAUGCGCAGAUAUCAGGAGGAACACCGGUGGCGAAGGCGGAUCUCUGGGCCUUACCUGACGCUCAGGUGCGAAAGCUAGGGGAGCGAACAGG
rnacentral:rRNA from 1 species